GCUGGUGUAGCUCAGUUGGUAGAGCGCGUCAUUGGUAAUGACGAGGUUCAUGGGUCCGACUCCCAUCACCAGCU
rnacentral:tRNA from 1 species